rnacentral:rRNA from 1 species
GACUCUCGGCAACGGAUAUCUCGGCUCUCGCAUCGAUGAAGAACGUAGCGAAAUGCGAUACUUGGUGUGAAUUGCAGAAUCCCGUGAACCAUCGAGUCUUUGAACGCAAGUUGCGCCCGAGGCCUGCGAGCACGUCUGCCUGGUGUCA